CGGUGUCGUGCCGGUAGAGGUAAAACGAGUGUACAUUUUGACUUCUAAAUAAUCAGAUUUUCGUCAGUUGAUGCCAUGGUUAACUUCACCGAUUUACGAUAAUAGGCUACCUGCCCUACAGUAGGCCUACAGUAGGCCGUUCAGACUCAUUGCAUGGAUAUUUGUGUUAUAAAAUGCCACGUCAAUUUGAAGGAGUUUGCGGAAUUAAAUGAUGAUUCCGAUUGAGAUGUCAUCUGUCAUGGACUGAGCCCUGGUGCAGCUGGCUGCCUGGGCAGAGGAUCCCCGUUGCUAGGGAGACUUCACCACAGAGACGUGGCCCUGAGAGAGCAAAUAGAGGAGGAGCCAGAAGAAACCCUCACCUAGGGUAAACUACAGAGACAGGAGAGAGAAGAAGAGGUGGAGAGAGGAGAGAGGUCCAAAGAGGAAGAAAGGACUGAGGGAAGAGAGAAGGAGAGUCUGUCAGUCUCAGGAUGGGUUAUGACCUGGAGAGGUUUGUGGGGUACGUGAACGAGGGGCUUCUGUGCUGUGUGUGUCGGGAUGUGUUGGAGCGCCCCCUCCAGGCCCCUUGUGAACAUGCCUACUGCGACGCCUGCAUCAGCUCCUGGCUCAUACACCACCACUCCUGCCCUGAGGACAGACUUCCACUGGACAUCAGCACUCUGAGACCACUGCACAGGUACAUGCGUAAUGACCUGUCCAGGCUCCAGAUCCGUUGUGUUAACUCUGACCAGGGCUGUGAUGCCGUCUGCUGCCUGGAGACACUUCACACACACGAGGACGAGUGUCCAUUCACAUUCAUAUCCUGCUCCUACACAGGUUGUCCGGUGCAGGUGGAGAGGAGGGGUCUGGAGUCUCACCUGUUGGAGUGUGAGUUCCGCAGCAGGGCGUGUCCUAGCGGCUGUGGCCACACCCUCCUCUCUGUAGACCAAUCACAGCACAACUGUGUUGCGGAGCUACGAAUAGAAUUGGAGCUGCUCAGGGCAGAGAUGUGGGGUAAGGUGGAGGAGGUGAGGCGUGAGAUGGAGUCGAGGCUGGACUCUCAGAGGAGACACAUGGUGCAGAAAGAGUCUCUGCUGAAGAGCGAGGUGGAGGACCUCAAGGGCCAGGUGUCGAGGGUGGUGUGUGAUGUGCGGGCUCUCUUGGAGGCAGAGCGCCUGCGGAGACAGGAGCUGGCAGAAGCGGAGCUAGAGAAGAGGGAGCUACUGGAGAUGCUCCGGAGCCUGCAGCCGUUCAGGGGCCAGCGGAACAGAGACAAGCCAAUCAGAGGACUGCAUCAAGAAGACGGGACAAUUAGGAGCCAGCAUCAAGUAGAACACCCAACCAGGGGCCUGCUGAGGGCGGGGCCAACACAGGCUUCUACCCAAUCACUACCCUCGGCUUUGCCCACUCCAGCCUUAUACCCGCCUACCUCCCCACAGCCAGGGGAGGGGUCACGUAAGGCCCGCCCCCGCAGCCUUACCCUCGACUGCAUCAAGAGCAGAGAGGUCACCGUCAUCUGAGGGGUCAUUCCUAAUGUUACUGGGUUAUGUUCAGUACUGGGUUAUGUUCAGUACUGGGUUAUGUUCAGUACUGGGUUAUGUUCAGUACUGGGUUAUGUUCAGUACUGGGUUAUGUUCAGUAGGCACAAAUGAGAGAAAAUGCUUUAACGUCCUCAAUUCCUUCUUCAUUUAACCGUCUCAAAACAUUUUAUCUGGUGUGGCAUCUCCUGAACGCACCCUUGAUGAUUGGCAGAUACCUGUGACAUUGCUUCAACUCAAGAGAAAACCAGCCUGCUGAGAUCCUAAAUAAAGUCUGCUGAAACACC